CGGAUUUAAGUCGCUCCCUAUUAAAACGAGAACGGACGGAAUGUCAAUGAGGCGAGUGCAAGUUGAGUUGGAAUUAUUCAACGGAUAAAUAAUUGAUAGCAAGCCUGUGUAUUGCAGGGAUACGGGCCUCCUGUGCGGGUUCACCGUUUAGGCCAUAAUCCAUUCCAUUGUCCAAGUGCGGGUUGAACUUUUGAUUCUUUGACAUGCAAACAGUGGCGACGAUUCCACAUGGGUACAGCAAGCACCUCAAGUUUUAAUUUUGCAAUAAUAAGCUCACGUGUUCAAGACGACGUGAACAAGACUAUUUGUAUGCUCUAAGUCCAUCGAAA